rnacentral:lncRNA from 1 species
AUGGAAAAAUCAAGAGAGUUCCAGAAAAACAUCUAUUUCUGCUGUAUUGACUAUGCCAAAGCCUUUGACUGUGUGGAUCACAAUAAACUGUGGAAAAUUCUGAAAGACAUGGGAAUACCAGACCACUUAACCUGCCUCUUGAGAAAUCUGUAUGCAGGUCAGGAAGCAACAGUUAGAAUUGGACAUGGAACAACAGACUGGUUCCAAAUAAGAAAAUGUGUACGUCAGGGCUGUAUAUUGUCACCCUGCUUAGUUAACUUCUAUGCAGAGUACCUCAUGAGAAACGCUGGGCUGGAAGAAGCACAAGCUAGAAUCAAGAUUGCAGGGAGAAAUAUCAAUAACCUCAAAUAUGCAGAUGACACCACCCUUAAGGCAGAAAGUGAAGAGGAACUAAAAAGCCUCUUGAUGAAAGUGAAAGAGGAGAGUGAAAAAGUUGGCUUAAAGCUCAACAUUCAGAAAAUGAAGAUCAUGGCAUCCGUUCCCAUCACUUCAUGGGAAAUAGAUUGGAAAAUAGUGGAAACAGUGUCAGACUUUAUUUUUCUGGUCUCCAAAAUCACUGCAGAUGGUGACUGCAGCCAUGAAAUUAAAAGAUGCUUACUCCUUGGAAGAAAAGUUAUGACCAACUUAGAUGGCAUAUUCAAAAGCAGAGACAUUACUUUGCCGACUAAGGUCCGUCUUGUCAAGGCUAUGGUUUUUCCUGUGGUCAUGUAUGGAUGUGAGAGUUGGACUGUAAAGAAGGCUGAGCACCAAAGAAUUGAUGUGUUUGAACUGUGGCAUUGGAGAAGACUCUUGAGAGUCCCUUGGACUGCAAGGAGAUCCAACCAGUCCAUUCUGAAGAUCAACCCUGGGAUUUCUUUGGAAGGAAUGAUGCUAAAGCUGAAGCUCCAGUACUUUGGCCACCUUAUGCGAAGAGUUGGCUCAUUGGAAAAGACUCUGAUGCUGGGAGGGAUUGGGAGCAGGAGGAGAAGGGGACAACCGAGGAUGAGAUGGUUAGAUGACAUCAUGGACUCGAUGCACGUGAGUCUGAGUGAACUCCGGGAGUUGGUGAUGGACAGGGAGGCCUGGCAUGCUGUGAUUCAUGGGGUCGCAAAGAGUCGUACACGACUGAGCAACUGA